AAAUGCGAUAAGUAAUGUGAAUUGCAGAUUUCAGUGAAUCAUCGAAUCUUUGAACGCACAUUGCGCCCGCCAGCACUCUGGCGGGCAUGCCUGUUCGAGCGUCAUUUCAACCCUCAGAACCCCUUGCGGGAUCUGGCGUUGGGGAUUGGCAUCCAGCCAGCCCCGAAAUCUAGUGGCGGUCCCUCCGCGACCUCCCCUGUGCAGUAGCGAUACCUCGCAGCGGGACAGCGGUCUGACCACGCCGUAAAACCCCCAACUUCUCAAGGUUGACCUCGAAUCAGGUAGGAAUACCCGCUGAACUUAAGC
rnacentral:misc_RNA from 1 species